AAAGUUGAGGUAGGUGCGAGAAAUGACGAGAAUCAUCCAAAUCGCGCUCAUUGCCUCCAAUCUGCCUCGACUGGG
rnacentral:pre_miRNA from 1 species